AUCCAGCUGACGAGUCCCAUAUACAACGAAACGCGCGUCCUAGUU
rnacentral:hammerhead_ribozyme from 1 species